GACGAACGCUGGCGGCUUGCUUAACACUUGCAAUUCGAACGGAAAGGCCCUGCUUUUGUGGGGUGCUCUAGUGGCGAACGGGUGAGUAACACGUGAGUCACCUGCCCUUUACUUUGGGAUCACUUCAGGCAACUUGGGCUAAUACCUGAUAGCAGUUCCUGCUGCAUUGUGUGGGUUGGAAAGUUUGGUCGGUUGGGGAUGGCCUCGUGGCUUAUAAGCUUUUUGGUGGGGUAGUGGCUUACCAAGGCUUUGACGGGUAGCCGGCCUGAGAGGGUGACCGGCAACAUUGGGAAUGGGAUACGGCCCAGACUCCUACGGGAGGAAGCAGUGGGGAAAAUUGCACAAUGGGCGGAAGCCGGAUGCAGCAACGCCGCGUGCGGGAUGACGGCCUUAGGGUUGUAAACCGCUUUCGCCUGUGACGAAGCGUGAGUGACGGUAAUGGGUAAAGAAGCACCGGCUAACUACGUG
rnacentral:rRNA from 1 species